GCCACUAUCUAGCCCAACAAACUACCAACCCCACCACAAUAAACUAGACCCACACAUAAAUAACUGAAAACAUUCAAUACAUUUAGUAUGUGAGACAGAAAAACUAUAAUGGAGCUAUAAAGACAGUACCGCAAGGGAAAAUUGAAAAACAUGAAACUUAAACCCUAGCAAAAUAAAGCAAAGACAAAACCUUGUACCUUUUGCAUAAUGAUUUAACCAGUAAAUAUCAAGCAAAGAGAACUAAAGUAUGAAACCCCGAAACCAAAUGAGCUACUUACCGGCAACCAUAAGACAUAAGGGUUACUAACCGUCUCUGUGGCAAAAGAGUGGAAAGACCAGUAAGUAGAGGUUAAAAGCCUACCGAACUUGGUGAUAGCUGGUUGCUCAGAAAAAGAAUAAAAGUUCUACCUUAAACCCCCUACAAACAACAUAAAGUUACCAGUGAGAUUUAAGAGAUAUUCAGUAGAGGUACAGCUCUACUGAAAAGGACACAACCACAUACUGGAGGUCAAAAACAGCAACCAAUUCCGUAGGCCUUAAAGCAGCCACCAAAAAUUAAAGCGUUAUAGCUAAACCAUAACAAAUAACACAACUAAAAUUUUAACCCCUAAACAAACUGAGCUACUCUACACACAUAGAAGAAUUAAUGUUAAAAUUAGUAAUAAGAAACUAAAUUUCUCUAAAGCACCAGCUUAAAUCAGUCCAGACAAACUACUGAUUGUUAACAGUCACAUAUAAAACUAAAAAAAUAAACAAAUCAUAAAGACUAAACUGUUAACCCAACACAGGGGUGCAUAUUAGAAAGAUUAAAACCUGUAAAAGGAACUAGGCAAACAAAGAACCCGACUGUUUACCAAAAACAUAGCCCCUAGCACAACAAGUAUUAGGGGUGAUGCCUGCCCAGUGACACAGUUCAACGGCCGCGGUAUCCUGACCGUGCGAAGGUAGCAUAAUCGCUCGUCUUUUAAAUAAAGACUGGAAUGAAUGGCUAAACGAGGAUCUAUCUGUCUCUUAUAGGUAAUCAAUGAAAUUGAUCUACUCGUGCAAAAGCGAGAAUGAUAACAUAAGACGAGAAGACCCUGUGGAACUUAAAAUAACAGUUAAAGGAUGUAAAUUAUAUAAUCCAACAGGAAUACCAACUACAACCUAUUUAACCCUAUUUUUGGUUGGGGUGACCUCGGAGAAAAGAAAAACCUCCGAAAACUUAAUGCCAAGAACAACGGACCAAAGCACCAUAGGUGUAAACGAUCCAAUAUAUUUGAUCAAUGAACAAAGCUACCCCAGGGAUAACAGCGCAAUCCCCUCUUAGAGUCCCUAUCAACGAUGGGGGUUUACGACCUCGAUGUUGGAUCAGGACAUCCUAAUGGUGCAGCCGCUAUUAAGGGUUCGUUUGUUCAACGAUUAACAGUCCUACGUGAUCUGAGUUCAGACCGGAGCAAUCCAGGUCGGUUUCUAUCUAUGAUUGUAGAUUUUUCAGUACGAAAGGAUAAAAAAAAUACAGCCAAUAUUUUUAAACAUGCUGUACUUCACAUUAAUGAACAUAAACUAAACUGUACACAAAGACAAAAUUUUUAAAUUACCCAAGAAAAGGGCC
rnacentral:rRNA from 1 species